CUUCAUGCCUGGGAUAGCUAAGGAGGAGGUGGUCCUGGGGGGCCACCAGGAGGGCCUCCGGGGGGUCCUGGAGGGCCACCAGGUGGUCCUGGCGGGCCACUAAAAGGUCCAGGUGGUCCCGGCUGGCCACCAAAAGGUCCAGGCGGACCACCAGGAGGUCCAGCAUAAGGUGGAGCUGGGCCUGGUAGAGAUGGAGGUGGAGCAGGCGCAACGGGUGGUGGAGGAGCCGGAGCAGGAGGUCCAGGAGGUGCAUCACCUGGGCCGCCAGGAGGCCCUGGUGGAGGUGGACCGCCGAAGCAGUCUUGGAUCAACCAGCAACAGCAUAACACAUAUAGACUGCCAAAAAUUUGCGGGUAAAAGUUAAAAAAAAAUGAAAAAAAAACAGUAAGGGGGUUUUCUUUUGGUCUAGACAAUAAACAGUAAGUUCAAGGAAGAAGUUUAAUACGACUAUGUCUAUCUUAUCAUUCAAAGAGGAAUUAUACAUUUUUAUCUCUUUUCUUGUCAAAAUUUCCAUUUUUUGUUUAGCUAGAAUUGAGGCAAAAGUUUGUUUCUGUCAAGUCAUGCUAAUGCCUGCAUACUGAAAAGAAAGAGUGAUCUAUAAAGAAAAAUGCCAAAUUCUUCUUCGUUAGAAAGAAAGCUUUAAACAGUUUAGAAAAUAUUACUAACCAAGAAGAUACCCCACUGCACAAGCCAUUGAAGAAGCCCACAAUCAACCCCCCCGGCGCAGGCCAGGGAGCUCCAGGACCGCCCGGUCCUGGAGGACCAGGUCCUCCAGGUCCUGGCCCAGGCCCUCCAGGUCCAGGUGGUCUCAUUUUGCCCUACGACUGCACUCGAGCAACAAUGCAGCCAGUACCAGUAGAAAACUGGCAGGAGCUCGAAUUCUCAGUGUCAAUGGCAGUCCCCUGAAAUGGUGUUAGAGUAGCUUGAAUACAAUCUCGAGAAAUCCCCAGU
rnacentral:lncRNA from 1 species